UGCACCAAGGCAUAGUUUCUCUUUGGACAGUGCUCGAACCGGUCACUGGGGUCUAGUGGGCAUAAAUAUGUUUACUGUUUAUGUGCAUACAAUGGGGCUGCUGAAUUAAGGUUACUUUUUUGUGAACAUCGCAAAGGUUGAAAUUGUGACCUCCGGACUUACGCGUAUGAAGUGUGAUCUUGGUUGCACUUAAAUCCCUGGAGAUGCCUUGCAGCUUGAGCCUGCGUAAAUGAGUGAUUGCUGACAAUAAUGGUGAUGUUCAAGUGAUAUAUAAUUGAUAAGUAGUAUUUCAGUAUAGAAUAAAAAGAAAUUGUCAGAGAGCAUUCAACGAGAAUGGAAGAGUUGAAUAAACUGUUCAAUUCGGAUUUGCUGGCAGCAGCCAGUAGUGCAGCGAUGAAGAUGGAUGAAAACAUGAACACCAGCGGAAUUGUGGCCUCGACACUGAUAACGACGACAACUACGGCGGCCACGUGCUAUCAACGGUUCACGAAGAACAAAAAGAACAUAACCCAGGGCGACUUUGCCCCCACGCUAGACAACAGUGACAAAAGCCCCAUAACAUGCACCAAAACGUCGACCACCAUCUUCAGCCAGCAGCAGCCAAGCCACACGAAGAAUGAAUGCUGCGGUAGUAAGCAGGAAUGUGCCACUUGUAGUAGUAUUAGUUUAACCAAUUCAAGCAAUAACAAUAACAACAGUAGCAGUAAUAGCGACCCAGCGGAACUGGUAUGCAGUAAACAGGACGUCUCGUAUUAUAAACUGCGGCAGCUGCUCAACUAUGAAGAUGCUCCGAAGCACCUGCAGUUCAACCCGUUCAUUCGUACCGGCUACCGAACUAUUCUGUCGACGAAGCUUUGCCUGGAGAGCAUGUUCUGGUGGACAAACGAAACGUUCAAUAUCUGGAGUCACGUGUUCGGGUGCUUUCUGUUCGUUGGACUGGCCUAUUCGGACAUCGUUUUGCUACAGAUGCACGCAAGCAUGAUCGAUAAGAUAAUUGUGGGAGCAUUAUUAGUUUGUUUCCAGGUCUGCAUGAUUCUGUCUUCCAUUUACCAUACUUUCUCCUGCAAAUCGGAGCAAAGCUAUGAGUGCUUCCUAGCGUACGACCUGUUUGGGAUAGCGUUGUCACUGUUGGCCAUCUUCAUCAGUGGCAUAUAUUACGCUUUCUGGUGCAAUGCGGAACUGCGCAAUUUCUACAUUAUCACCAUCGGAGUGAUAUUCACGGUAGCAAUGAUCCUGCAGAUUCCCCGACUGAAGGUGAACUCCAAUGUAAAGAUGCUGGCCUUCGUGGCAUGGGCGGCCUAUGGCGUCGUGCCAACGCUCCACUGGUACAUUGUGAUGGGCGGCGCAGAAAGCACCAUGGUCAAGUUAUUCAUUCCACGCGUGAUGGUGAUGUAUUUGCUGACGGGCACGGCCUUCCUGAUCUACGUCACCAGGAUACCGGAACGGUGGUUCGCCGGCAAAGUGGAUUACAUCGGGCACUCGCAUAACUGGUGGCAUGUGUUUGUUCUGGCAGCUCUCUACUACUGGCACAACAGCGGUUUGGCCUUUGCAUUUUUCAUGAUUGAUAACGGAUGCGUGGAAGAUAGAGAUAAAUGUUACCGAUUGUAAAUAAAUGGAUAUUUAUCGAACGACAUGUUUAACUAUUCCUACCAAUUUUUUGUUUAUUUCAAAAUCAAGCGCGUUAUUUGUUUUACUACGUUAACCAUUUAUAUACAGUGUUGUUACGAUGUAGUUCAUUCGGGUUCAUUGAGGUUUCGGUGGCAGGCGGCAAGCGCGUAAUUUUUAACAUUAUACCGGUAAUAAUGUUUAGUGGAAAUAAUAGGAUCUAACCAGAAAGAAAGGACAUUUCUAGAACUCACAGGUAUGAAAUAUGUUGAGUUCAGGAUGACUCACGGAUGCUCCGCUGGGGUUCAGUACACCUGACCAGAUGCGCAAAAGACAUGCCGCACACAAACACAGGGCGCACGAUACUGAGAGAGAAAGAGAGACAACCGGUUACCAAGUUUAUCAUAGUUGUAAAAAACAGUAGAAUAAUUAAACUCUUAUCCUUUAGUCAAUUGUUACAGUUAGGUAGUGCUGAGCUCGCUAUUCUAGUUGAAUAGAAUGGCGUGGUGAAGAAAAGUUGCUCAAAGUUUUCAGAAGAAAAAAUAAACAAUUACGAAUGUAGACAAUUAUUACCGAUGACGUACUAUACAUUUAAUAUAAAAAACGAAUAGUAUCAAUUUUUACCAAUUCGCAGUACAAGAUGUGAUCUAAUGUGACGUUUCAAUUUUUUUUUUCUACUUUCUAUGUUACAUUUGACUAGGUAUUAAUGACAAUAAAAUUCUGAAAUGGGAA